rnacentral:snRNA from 1 species
AGCUUUAGAGAUUUGUUUACUCU